AUGGACGACUACCUCAAGCUACAUCAAGUACCCUCCAAAGUUCAAGUGAAGUCCGCCACAAGUACCUUCCACGACUACGCGUUGAUUUGGUGGCUUCACUCAUCUUCGAGGAGCUUCGACAUGAGUUGGUCCAAGACGAAGAAAGCGAUGAGGCGAGAAUUUAUGCCUUCAACCUACAUGGAACAUCUUCAACGCCAAUUGGAGAACACCAUACAAGGAUCCAAGUCCCUCGACGAGUACUUCAAGAACAUGAAGGAAGCCGUGCGACGUGCCGGCGUGGACGACCCCAUUUGGAUGAAGUUCUACUUCAUGAUGGGAUUGAACAACGACAUCUCCAAGACUAUCUUCCUCGAGAACUACAAGUCCCUUGACGACAACUACUUUGGUGCUCUCAAGGCGGAGCAAGAACUCAAGAAGGCCAAGUCUACUCGACCCCGAGCUCACUUCGCAAUGACAACGCUACAAGACGGCAAGAGUGAUGAUGUGCCAUCUUCGGCCUUCAUUCAUGACGAGAGUGAUGGCGUGCCAUCUUAG
rnacentral:rRNA from 1 species